GUAAUACAUCGGAACGUGCCCAGUAGUGGGGGAUAGCCCGGCGAAAGCCGGAUUAAUACCGCAUACGACCUACGGGUGAAAGCGGGGGACCGAAAGGCCUCGCGCUAUUGGAGCGGCCGAUGGCUGAUUAGCUAGUUGGUGGGUAAAGGCCUACCAAGGCUACGAUCAGUAGCUGGUCUGAGAGGACGACCAGCCACACUGGGACUGAGACACGGCCCAGACUCCUACGGGAGGCAGCAGUGGGGAAUUUUGGACAAUGGGCGAAAGCCUGAUCCAGCAAUGCCGCGUGUGCGAAGAAGGCCUUCGGGUUGUAAAGCACUUUUGUCAGGAAAGAAAUUGUCUGGGCUAAUACCCCGGGCCGUUGACGGUACCUGAAGAAUAAGCACCGGCUAACUACGUGCCAGCAGCCGCGGUAAUACGUAGGGUGCGAGCGUUAAUCGGAAUUACUGGGCGUAAAGCGUGCGCAGGCGGUUUGUUAAGACAGUUGUGAAAUCCCCGGGCUUAACCUGGGAACUGCAAUUGUGACUGGCAGGCUAGAGUUUGGCAGAGGGGGGUGGAAUUCCUGGUGUAGCAGUGAAAUGCGUAGAUAUCAGGAGGAACACCGAUGGCGAAGGCAGCCCCCUGGGCCAUGACUGACGCUCAUGCA
rnacentral:rRNA from 1 species